rnacentral:snRNA from 1 species
AUACCAAUAUACAAAAAAAUUGGAACGAUACAGAGAUUAGCAUGGCCCCUGCGCAAGAAGGACAUGCAAAUUUGUGAAGCAUUCCAUAUUUAA